UCACAUGCACGCACAUCAUCAAC
rnacentral:siRNA from 1 species